CUGCAUUUCUUCCCGUAAAGAGAGCGAUUUUUAUAUUAGCAAAUUUGUUCAGUCGAGGAAAAGCUUUUGCAGAUUCUCCAUGCUCUCCCCUCCAGCUAUUAAUACUCUGCCUGCGCACUCCUCCCCUCUUUUCUUCCCGGAAAGCUAAUAAAGAAAGAAGGGCCUUUUUCUUUCUCGCCCCAGAUAAAGAAAGCCCUUCUUCUUCUUCUUCUUCUGCUUCGGCUUUAUCACUUCACAUCAAAUGGAGGCCUCAAUGUGAAGCUUGCUGCACUUUCUCUCGCACCAGCUGUCUUCACAUUCUAGGAUAGGUCGUCAGCUUUUCUGGGUUCUCUUCACUUUUCAACCCACCCCUGUCUCUUCUUCUCGUGGGUGUUGCUGCUGUGGAGAGAUCUUGGGGAAGUCAAAAUGGAGGCGGCGUGAGGUCUUUUCCUUCCAGUGGGGUUGGUGUUCUGAUAAAACUAGAACUUGGGUUUCUCUUCUUUCUUCUUGCUCUGCCCCCGCUGUGCGUAUACACGGAUGGGGAGCGUUUCUUGGCUUUUGCUGGUGUUGGUCUCCAUGGGGAUGGUCGUGUGCACUUGGUGCCAGAAUAGUAGCUCGGAAGCAAUCACGGCUGUUUACAUUGUGACCCUUAAACAAGCCCCUGUCGUCCAUGACUAUGGUGUGCUGAAGAAGGAGACGAAUGUGUUCAGGCAUGGAGGUUCGGGGAAAUCCAACAGAAUGGACAAAGCAAGGCACAGGAACACUUCUCGUUCUGGUGGGAGCUCGGGUUCUUAUAUUGCUCGAGUUCAUGAUUCGUUAUUGAAGAAGGUACUGAAGGGAGAGAAAUAUCUGAAACUGUACAGCUAUCACUACUUAAUAAAUGGAUUUGCAGUACUUGUCACUCCCCAGCAGGCCGACAAACUUUCACAGAGGACAGAGGUGGCAAACGUAGUUUUGGAUUUUUCAGUUAGAACGGCAACAACUCAUACUCCACAAUUUCUUGGUCUACCAAAUGGAGCGUGGGCACAACGUGGUGGGUACGACUCAGCUGGAGAAGGAGUUGUGAUUGGUUUUAUUGAUACUGGCAUUGAUCCGACACACCCCAGCUUUGCCGAUGAUGUGUCUGACCGUCCAUAUCCAGUCCCUGCUCAUUACUCAGGGAUUUGUGAGGUCACCCCGGAUUUUCCAUCCGGAUCAUGCAAUAGGAAGCUUGUCGGGGCCCGGCAUUUUGCUGCAUCUGCCAUAACCAGAGGAAUUUUCAAUGCAUCUCAGGACUACGCAUCGCCAUUUGAUGGAGAUGGUCACGGGACGCACACAGCUUCAGUUGCAGCAGGAAACCAUGGGAUUCCAGUUAUUGUUUCUGGUCAUCACUUUGGGAAUGCAAGUGGAAUGGCUCCUCGUUCACACAUUGCUGUUUACAAGUCAUUAUAUAAGAGCUUUGGAGGCUUUGCCGCGGAUGUCGUUGCUGCAAUUGACCAGGCUGCUCAGGAUGGUGUUGACAUAAUAAGCUUAUCAAUCACUCCUAAUAGGCGUCCUCCUGGAAUUGCAACGUUCUUCAACCCCAUUGACAUGGCUUUAUUGUCAGCAGUAAAAGCUGGCAUUUUUGUUGUGCAAGCUGCCGGAAAUACUGGGCCUGCACCAAAAAGCGUAUCUUCCUUCAGUCCAUGGAUCUUCACUGUUGGUGCUGCUGCUCAUGACCGAGUGUACCAAAACUCCAUAGUUCUUGGAAACAACCGAUCAAUUGCUGGAGUUGGCCUUGCGCCGGGAAUCGAUAAAGAUACGAUGUACAAGCUAGUCUCAGCACUCGAUGCUCUGAACAAUGACACUUCAACUUCCAAAGACAUGUAUGUCGGUGAAUGUCAGGACUCUACAAACUUUGAUCCAGAUCAUGUCCAAGGGAACCUUUUGAUAUGCAGCUACUCAAUCCGGUUUGUGCUUGGACUCUCCACCAUCCAACAGGCCUUAGAAACAGCAAAUAACCUUAGCGCAGCUGGUAUCGUGUUUUACAUGGAUCCUUUUGUGAUUGGGUUUCAGCUUAAUCAACUCCAUUGAAGAUGCCUGGCAUCAUUAUUCCAACAUCAGAUGAUUCCAAGAUACUGCUUCAAUACUACAAUUCUUCUGUGGAGAGGGACGGACAGACAAAACAGGUUGUUACAUUUGGAGCCACUGCUAGCAUCUUGGGCGGGCUGAAAGCCAACUACAGCUUUUCUGCUCCAAAAGUCAUGUACUACUCGGCCAGAGGACCUGAUCCAGAAGACAGUUCUCUCACCAACGCAGAUAUAUUGAAGCCAAACUUGGUUGCCCCUGGUAAUUUCAUAUGGGCUGCUUGGAGCUCUGUUGGCACUGAUUCUAUGGAAUUCGAAGGUGAAAACUUUGCGAUGAUGUCUGGGACAAGCAUGGCUGCUCCUCAUAUUGCUGGGCUGGCAGCGCUAAUUAAGCAAAAUUUUCCAAGUUUUAGUCCUUCUGCCAUUGCAUCUGCUCUUUCUACAACGGCUUCUUUAUAUGACAAGAAUGGGGGACUGAUAAUGGCUCAGCGCGCUUAUGCCAACCCAGAUCAAAAUCAGUCCCCAGCAACGCCUUUUGACAUGGGCAGCGGUUUUGUGAAUGCAACCGCUGCUUUGAAUCCGGGACUUAUUCUUGACUCCAGUUAUGAUGAUUACAUGUCAUUUCUCUGUGGCAUUAACGGUUCGGCUCCCAUUGUUUGGAACUACACCGGCCAAAGUUGUUGGGCUUACAACAACACUAUUAGUGGUGCCGACCUGAACUUGCCCUCUAUCACAAUCGUGACGCUCAACAGUUCUAGGACAGUUCAACGUACAGUCACAAACAUUGCUGGAAAUGAAACUUACAGUGUUGGUUGGAGCGCCCCUUACGGGGUCUCCAUGAAGGUAGCUCCGACUCGCUUCACCAUCGCCAACGGCCAGACGCAGGUACUGAGUGUCUCCUUUAACGCGACAGUCAAUAGUUCCUCGGCCACCUUUGGGAGAAUCGGGCUGUUUGGAACUCAAGGCCACGCUGCAAACAUACCAUUGUCAGUCAUCGUAAAGAUCUUUUAUAACUCUACUAACAGCUGAGUGUAGAGAUUUUCUUUUUUUUGUCCUUUCAUCUAUCUUGUCUGUAACCUUUUGUGCUUCCAGGUUUUGAUUUUUUUGCUCCUCCGAUUUGUGGCAAGAUCUGUAAUGUAAGUCGAAUGUUUGUUCAUAGUCGUGUAAAUGCUUAGCAGAUCAUGUAACAGUGUUCAAAUACGCUGCUUCACUUCAAUGCUGAUCUUUCUUGUCCAUUGCCUGCAUUGGCAGGAAAA